CAUACUCCAACUCGGCCACUCCGCCGCCGGCGGUGACACACCUUCGUCGAAACGACUUCCUGCUCAACUGAGUUGUCAUGAUCCAAGUCUUUGACAACGACGACGUCGCCACCAGUUUUCUGGGGCCUUUUCCGGUGAAUCUUCUUCCUCUCCUUCCCCGGCAACGCUGAUUCUGGUAACAAGAAGUAGAUAUUGCCUCUCUUCAGCUCCGAGUCCGGCGACAGCAUGAAGAUCUUGCGGACGACUCCCUGAGAGCACGGCUUGCUGAUGACGUGGUUGGGGUGAGCCGCCAGAACUUCCCUGGCAGAGACAGGGCGACUGUACAGCUCCACUUGGCC
rnacentral:lncRNA from 1 species